rnacentral:sRNA from 1 species
CAUAUUUAUACCUGAUGAGUGAUAACAAGGGGUUUUUAUUUGACCACCUAUAUUUCUUUUCUCGAAAGAUUAGGCUGGGAAAACAUUUUUGCUUCUCUUUUUUUUUUUUUAAACAACUAUGCUCACCCCAACCUGUUGAGCCACUCUUCCACUUGCAAAUUAAAAUGACUGGUUUUCUAGGAGAAAUCCGGCUUAAGCAGCCUUAUGGAAGUGACCUAGUUCAUUUAACCGAGAUGAAGUUGAUUUGGGGUAAGAUGGGGGAAGGAGGGAAAAGGAUGUCAAGGAACAAAUGAAACCUGAACUGGUCCCAGAGAGAUCUCAUCUGAUAGGCUGUUGGUUGAUUCUCACACUUCGAAGCAGUUGUCCCGUGGGCCCACCCAAGCCUGCCCCCUGUCCCUUUGCCCUGUCUCUGUCCCCAGCUCCCCUCCCUUGGAUACGAUGCUGUCAGUGUUUUUAGUCCUUCCCUUAAUAUUAUUUUUUAAAGGUUGAUAUCCUGAGUGAGUCUGCACCCUCCCAGCCUCUUCCCGGCUCGUUCUGCAGGGAAAUCCUCCCUCUGUUGAUAGCAUCGCAAACCUGGUGGCAAUCUGUGCGUGGACAGGACCCUCCCAAAUUUAGCAUUAUGACUUCACCACAGGAUCAAGAGAAGAUGAAUUGUGGGGGAGAAGGGGCUUUCUUUGUCAUCAGUAGCCAGAGGGGCCAGGAGAGCAGUGGAGAGACCUGGGACCGGCUUGGAUGCUCUGAGCGGGGCUAGAGGCGCUACGACAGUGUGUGGCGGUGUCCUGCCACGACGCCGCCGUCUCCAGAACCACCACACAGUUGACUGUCCUUACCCGGCAGUGCUCAGGACCUCAGCCGAUAAACCACAACCUGGACUUGCCGCCUCCUUCUCCAGGAGGCCGCCUCAGCACGGCCUCCCCAGGAAGCAGCAUGGGGUAGAAGGCAGAUGCCUCGAAUCCAGGUGUCCCCUAGCCACGCUUUCCUGAGGAGCUGAGGAGCCCGCAGAACUCAGCGGAUUAUUUAUUUUUAUUUAAACGACCCUUCAAAGGCCCUUAGGUUUCCUUGCCUCUGCUCACAGAACUAGCCCAGCCAGGUGUCGCUGCUGCCUCAGAGCUGUGUGGGGUCGCGUGUGUGUCGGGGGGCCAUCUUGCCGAUUUAACACUGCUUUUUGUGUUGUUGUUGUUUUCCCUCCUCCCUGCCUGCCUGCCCCUUCUCCCCCAGCGAGGACGGUGUCGUGGAGAGGUCCAGCCCCAAGUCUGAGAUUGAGGUCAUUUCUGAGCCACCUGAAGAAAAGGUGACAGCCAGAGCGGGGGCCAGCUGUCCCAGUGGGGGUCAUGUAGCCGAUAUUUAUCUUGCAAACAUCAACAAGUAAGCUCUGCUUUUCAUUUUCUGCUCCCCUGAAUGACUUGCAACACCCAGCCUCACCCUCUGGCCUAACCCCCAUCUCCAUUCCCGUGCUGCACGUAGGGCUCCCAGCUCCCGCAGCCUAACAGUUUGCAUGUGGUCAUUGCUGCUGCAAGGCGGACAGGGCUGAGGACGCUGCUACAAGCUUCGGGGCAGGUCCAGGUCUCCAGCUAGCUGCCCUCGUGCUGUGGAAGGGUGCUUUACUGUGUGUUCCCGCAGUGUCUGUCCACCCAGACCUUUGUGGCAGUCUUACAGCUAAAACUUUGACCAAAGCUUUGGUCACUUUAUGCAACCUGGUUUUGUACUGUUUCUCAGAGGUGCCUUCUUUUUUCCAAUCCAUACUCAAGUAAUAGUCUUUGAUGUCUGUCUUCCUUGACCCAUGUUCGUGCAAAGAUUCAGAGUCUGUGUGUGGCUUCUACUAGGCUGAUGUUACACCAGGUGGGUUUAUUGAGAUAUCAUGUGUCUGUUCUUCCCCCUGUCCUGCAUUCACUCCUGUGGAGGAAAGGAGGCCACGAUGUCCCUAAGGAAAGCUUUGUCCUGAGCUCUUCAUUCAUUGGCUAACCCCUAGCUCCCUUUUCUUCUGCCCUUUCACACCAGGAGAAAUAAUUUUCCAUUUUGUUCCUAUUGCUUUGGCCUUUUGUAUUAUUCCACCCCCUUAGUCCCUUUGCAGAUCCCCACUCCUGCUCAGCAGGCUCUUACCUCUGACCCCCAGCUUUCAUUGUGGCUGUUAGCAACAUCCUGGGGUUUAAACUCCACCCACGCCCGAUCUGGCUGUCUAGAGGGAUUCUACGCCUGCGUGCUGCCGCCUCCCCAAGAGGCAUUCAGGUUAUUGGAGAACUAAUCUCAUCUCAAGGGGCCAGACACCAAGUCCCAAAGCCUACAGACCUCUUUCCGCCAGACCCUGAAACCUGGCCCCGUGCCAGCAGGAUGACAAGCCCCAGGGCGCUCCUGAUGAAUAUGGAUUGGAGAUGAUGUACAGUUUUUAUUCCCCUCUGGCUUUUGAGGAAUGAAAUGAUUUGCACUUUGAAAACCUGUUAACCAUAGCCUCUGGACACUGAGACUGGAAGGAGAAUAAAGGAUGCUUGUUGUUUUUAAACUA